rnacentral:rRNA from 1 species
GACGAACGCUGGCGGCGUGCCUAAUACAUGCAAGUUGAGCGCUGAAGGUUGGUACUUGUACCAACUGGAUGAGCAGCGAACGGGUGAGUAACGCGUGGGGAAUCUGCCUUUGAGCGGGGGACAACAUUUGGAAACGAAUGCUAAUACCGCAUAAAAACUUUAAACACAAGUUUUAAGUUUGAAAGAUGCAAUUGCAUCACUCAAAGAUGAUCCCGCGUUGUAUUAGCUAGUCGGUGAGGUAAAGGCUCACCAAGGCGAUGAUACAUAGCCGACCUGAGAGGGUGAUCGGCCACAUUGGGACUGAGACACGGCCCAAACUCCUACGGGAGGCAGCAGUAGGGAAUCAUCGGCAAUGGACGAAAGUCUGACCGAGCAACGCCGCGUGAGUGAAGAAGGUUUUCGGAUCGUAAAACUCUGUUGGUAGAGAAGAACGUUGGUGAGAGUGGAAAGCUCAUCAAGUGACGGUAACUACCCAGAAAGGGACGGCUAACUACGUG